UGUUAGCACUUUGGAAUUUGGAAGGCUUGGGAAUCUUUUUAUUUUAAUAGAGUUAAACUAGUAACUUAACAUGGUUUAAGGAGGUGUUAGGGGUAAAUAUAGAAGCAUCCUCAUAUAUGCCUGUUAAAUUUGGUUCAGACUUCAGUCCAUUAUCAUCAUGGUGGGAAGCAUAACCGUGUCCAGGCAGGAUGGUGGAGGAGGAGCUUAGAGUUUUACAUCUUCAUCUGAAGACUACUACCAGAAUACUGACUACCAGGCAGUGCUCAGCGGCAGCAGAGUCUGAAGAUGCGGCCCCGGUAACGGCAGGCCCCAGAGAGCCGUUCUCCAAAACCACAGCCUGUGAGUCUGCAAUAGCAGGUCAAGCCUGACUUCACAUCUGGGGAAACAGAGAUCAGAUACAGUACUUAGUGCCUGAGUCAGCAGGGCAGAAGAGAUCUUGGGCAAGAUAUGUGCUGGGUGAAACGGGUUCUCCACAUUGAUCAUUACUGACAGCAGCAUGAGCAAUCAGGAUCAAUAUAAAUAAAUAUACAUUGUAAGCACAAAA